CAUCCUAACUAGGAAAACAAGAACAAAGAGAAAGAAUUCGGCAGACAGAGUGGGAGGGUCGUCACACCUUUAAAAAGAGAAAGGUUGGGUUGUUAAUGCUGGGUUCAUUCUCCUGCCAAAUCAAAGUUAUCCAGCAAGCUCUUGAAUGAGGAUUGUUGCAGCAAGUCUAGCAGACAGUGCCGCCUGCUCGUAGUGGAAUUACUUUGACGGUUAAAUGGGCAAGGCGCUUUGGCUGACCAAAAACUAUACUGAAGAUGACACGAUCCCACCACCAGUGUAACGAGUUGGAAAGAAUACUGCCCUCCCAAACAUUGAGGCUGGAACCAAUAUGGCUGAAUGUCUCGACCAAGCAACUGAAUAUCUCUGCCAAGAACAAGAUACCUAACCCUUUGUUCUGACUCUGGGGACAAUCACCUCUACUCCCUGGAAUUCAUCAUGAAUGAGCAAGUGCUGGAGCAGGAGACUUUGAUUUACAAAUUCCUCUUGAAAAUGAACUUGUUGGGGGGGAGUAGUGUAAAGUGUUUACUUUUCUUCAGCCCCAUUACUCAGCUUUAAUUGGUAGGGCUGCUGUGAUUUUGAAAAGUAUGGUUGUGCUUCUAAAGUUUGUUCUUGUUUUAUAUUUUGCAUGACUUCAUUCUGUAGCUAAAAUGUAUAUCUUAAACAUAUUGUAUUUUCUACAAUUUGUUGUGAUUGGCCAUAUGUCAUUUUAAGAAUGAUGUGUUGUAACAGGUAUUUGUAAAUUAACACCUGUGCAAAAAGGUAAGAAUUAACCCACUGCUGGGUCAAAUGAAUAACAAUAAAACUGUAAAAAG